UACGGAGGGUGCGAGCGUUAAUCGGAAUUACUGGGCGUAAAGCGCGCGUAGGCGGUUUGUUAAGUCAGCUGUGAAAGCCCCGGGCUCAACCUGGGAACUGCAGUUGAUACUGGCCGACUAGAGUACGAGAGAGGGAGGUAGAAUUCCAUGUGUAGCGGUGAAAUGCGUAGAUAUAUGGAGGAAUACCGGUGGCGAAGGCGGCCUCCUGGCUCGAUACUGACGCUGAGGUGCGAAAGCAUGGGGAUCAAACAGGAUUAGAUACCCCGGUAGUCC
rnacentral:rRNA from 1 species